rnacentral:rRNA from 1 species
UACGAAGGGUGCAAGCGUUAAUCGGAAUUACUGGGCGUAAAGGGUGCGUAGGCGGUUGUUUAAGUCUGUCGUGAAAUCCCCGGGCUCAACCUGGGAAUGGCGAUGGAUACUGGACAGCUAGAGUGUGUCAGAGGAUGGUGGAAUUCCCGGUGUAGCGGUGAAAUGCGUAGAGAUGUGGAGGAACACCGAUGGCGAAGGCAGCCCCCUGGGCCUGCACUGACGCUCAUGCACGAAAGCGUGGGGAGCAAACGGG